AUUGAACGCUGGCGGCAGGCCUAACACAUGCAAGUCGAAGGGAGUGGCGAACGGGUGAGUAACACGUGAGUAACCUGCCCUUUUCUUUGGGAUAAGCCUGGGAAACUGGGUCUACUACUUGAUGGAUUGGGAUGGGCUCGCGGCUUAUCAGCUUGGUGGUGGGGUGAUGGCUUACCCAGGCUUUGACGGGUAGCCGGCCUGAGAGGGUGGGCGGUCACUCUGGGACUGAGAUACGGCCCAGGCGCCUACGCGAGGCAGCAGUGGGGGAUAUUGCACAAUGGACGAAAGUCUGAUGCAGCGACGUCGUGUGGGGGAUGAAGGCCUUCGGGUUGUAAACUCCUUUCGCCCGCGGAAUGGUAGUGGGUAAAGAAGCGCCGGCUAACUACGUGCCAGCAGCCGCGGUAAUUC
rnacentral:rRNA from 1 species